AGUCAUUGCUGACAUCACCUUUUCAGCUUUGCCGUCUCCAGAUGGUUCAUGUAAACAGGCUGUCAGAACUCUGAGCAAAGACGACUGCAUCAUCUGAACCUGAGGGGCCUUAGGGCACAGAAGAACACAGCUGUCAUUCUCUAGGAUUUUAGAAGACAUUUUAAAAAAGAUCCUUCCUGGGUUGAACUUGGAACUGUGAUCACCUUGAUUGAAUGGAAGUGCUCAGCCACCCUCCGUGAAGAGUCCACAUGCAGUUGUACACCAGAUGUUGCAAAGAAAAAAAAAAAAGAAAGAAAGGUGGCUAUGGGCUAUGUCCUUCUUACAGUGCCAUGGACUGAGUAAUAUGGUCACAGAGCUGUGGAGCAGAAAAGUGGAUCAGAUCCUGGGAGCAGGGCCUCUUUUCCAUCGUCAUUUUCUACCUAUCGUGCCUCUGGAAGAUAGCCUCAGGAGCCUCCAGCUUCCGCAGGCAGUGUUUCACCUCUCACUCUCAUUCCUUCCCGGAAGAAGCCCCAUCCUGUGGUCGCAAGAUAAUUUGGUAUUUUCCUAGGGUUCCUAUUUAGAGAUCAUUGGCUUGAUCAGUCCUCCCAGAACCAGUCACUGUGGCCAGAGUGGACAUUUUAGUGUGCAGUUGAGGAAAGAGGAGUGGAUACUA